UUAAAUUGAAGAGUUUGAUCAUGGCUCAGAUUGAACGCUGGCGGCAGGCCUAACACAUGCAAGUCGAACGGUAACAGGAAGAAGCUCGCUUCUU
rnacentral:rRNA from 1 species